rnacentral:SRP_RNA from 1 species
GCCAGGCAUGGUGGUGCAUGCCUAUAGUCCCAGCUGCUCAGGAGGCUGAGGUGGGAGGAUGGCUUGAGCCCAGGAGGCAGAGGUUGCAGUGAGCCAAGAUCGUGCCACUGCACUCCAACCUGGGCAACACAGCCAGAACUUGUCUCAU